GGACCCGUCUUGAAACACGGACCAAGGAGUCUAACUCUGUAUCGAGUCGAUCGGUCUUGAAUAGGCCAGACAAGUAACUUUCGUAGUUACAAACUGAAGGCGUAGAGAAAUCAAAUCGUGUGAUCAUUGGGAUUCAAAACAAUCCCUUUGCGCAACAUGUGCCUGUUCGUAUAGCAAUGUUAGCAAUAACUUGCUGAGCGGAGUCUAGAGAUACAGGGUUGGGACCCGAAAGAUGGUGAACUAUAUUUGGGUAGAUUGAAGCCAGAGGAAACUCUGGUGGAGGAUCGUAGCCGUGAUAACGUGCAAAUUUCUGGUCAAACCUGAAUAUAGGGGCGAAAGACUAAUCGAACCAUCUAGUAGCUGGUUCCUUCCGAA
rnacentral:rRNA from 1 species